rnacentral:rRNA from 1 species
UGUGUUAGAACUUUCAUCUUAACACUAAGCAGGGUUGAGCCUGGUCAGUACCUGGAUGGGAGACCUCCUGGGAAAACUAGGUUGCUGUUGGAA